rnacentral:tRNA from 2 species
GGAGAGGUGACCGAGCGGUUGAAGGUGCACGACUGGAAAUCGUGUGUACCCCUAAUACGGGUACCGGGGGUUCGAAUCCCCCCCUCUCCGCCA